rnacentral:rRNA from 1 species
AUAUUGGACAAUGGGCGAAAGCCUGAUCCAGCCAUGCCGCGUGAGUGAUGAAGGCCUUAGGGUUGUAAAGCUCUUUCAGUGGGGACGAUAAUGACAGUACCGGGAGAAUAAGCUCCGGCUAACUCCGUGCCAGCAGCCGCGGUAAUACGGAGGGAGCUAGCGUUGUUCGGAUAUACUGGGCGUAAAGCGCACGUAGGCGGCGCCGCAAGUCAGGGGUGAAAUCCCGGAGCUCAACUCCGGAACUGCCUUUGAAACUGCAGUGCUAGAAUCCUGGAGAGGCGAGUGGAAUUCCGAGUGUAGAGGUGAAAUUCGUAGAUAUUCGGAAGAACACCAGUGGCGAAGGCGACUCGCUGGACAGGUAUUGACGAUGAGGUGCGAAAGCGUGGGGAGCAAACAGG